rnacentral:lncRNA from 1 species
CCACGCCUGGAGUCCACAGAACCGCUAAGACCUGCGAAUGGGCCCAUGGAGCUCGAGAAAUGCUUGUGAAUGACAUAGAUUGAAGCUGCAAAGAAGAGACGAGAGCACCUCCAGGAGGCUGACUGGAAUGGGACGAGGGUUGCCAGGCAAUGCUGGAUCUGAACUGGCCCUGGAAAAGCAGAAUUCCUGUUCCAUGGAACUGAAGAAAUAAGUGGUGGCAGGAGGAGGAGGAAGAAACGUAAACAUUGAGUCUUGUCUCCCUUCCAAACUGUGAACAAAGGGCUCAUAAUCCUCAUCCCAUGUCCAGCACGAGGCCCGCCU